UGUAGGCAUUUUAAAAGAAAGAAUGCCUAACUCCAACAGAAAAUUCUUCGUGGAGAUUGGGCUGGAUCCUAAAGAAUGGAUUGGAAUUUUCCAGGCAGAGAAGAAGAAAGGAUAUUUCAGGCAGAGGGAGCAAGAUGUGCAAAAGCAGAGUCAUAAGAAGACACACCUCAGAGAUACUGCAAGUUGGAUUCCAGACCAUCCCAACAAAGUGAAUGUCACAAUAAAGUCCUGCCUCUCUUUGGAGAAGAAUGACUGAACAUAUUGAGUCUUGUCUGGGGACCUUCGGAGGUGCUGGCAGGAAACAGACCAGUAAGAGCAUCGUGGCAUCACUGCACAG